GCGGCCAUACCAUGCUCAAUAAAUAUACCGGUUCUCGUUCGAUCACUGAAGUCAAGCCUCAUCGGUCGAGGUCAGUACUUGGGAGGGUGACCAUCUAGGAACACCGCGUGCCGUU